rnacentral:lncRNA from 1 species
UAAAAAAAAAUCUAAAGAAAGGAAUCUUUAGCUAUCUCAACAUCAAAAAGAAAAAAGCUGAGGUUUUCAAGAAUGUGUGCACACGUGCAGUGUGUAUGUGCAUGUUUGUGAUUUAUUGAGGGCUAAAAAGAGAGCUGAUAUUCCCUCUAUAUACACUAAACUUAUAACCACUCUCACCUCUAACCUAGGACCAACACUACACAACACACACACAUCCCACUCAUAUAUUCAUACAAAGUGUACUGAGUCCAUCUGAUGAACUAAUCUAAUGAUAGAUUUGAUAUCUAAUCCUCACAACUACAUUGCAAGGUAUAUACUAUUUUCUCUACUUUAUAGAAGAUGAAACUGAGCCCCUGAAGGCCUAAGGUCCGGCAACAUGUAAUAAAAGGAAGCUAGAAUUGGAACCCUGGUGUGUUCAAUUCCGAAACCAGCCCUUCUUCCACUACUCCUUCCUCAAAAGGCCUUCUAAGUCGUCACUCUCCUAGCACUGGUUACAAGAAAUGUCGGUGGGAGUGGUUGUUUUACGAUAAACCACUCUGAUAAAAAAAAUGCUCCAAUGAUUAUUUUUGAGAUGUCAGAGCUGAAAAUGUACAGAUUUCACUGGACGAAGAACCUGCCAAGUGGUGAUUGCACAACCAAAGCACUGCAAGGAACCAAGGAGGCCAAAUGUGUGUUGGAAAAAUCACAGAUGUCAUCUGGGAAUGCUCAGAGCCUUGGGCUUUCACGCUGAGACAGACUCGCUUCCACCGGAACCUCAGCCUUUUAAGGCUAAAUCAAGGCCGUGACUUCCUCAGCUGAAUCAACCUGACACUGUUCCCUGAGCUCACUGGGAUCCUAUUGGCAGAGCGUCAGCCCCGUCAUGGAAAGAAUGCCUCCACCAGGGAGGACUGGGUUAGUCCCCAUCCUGAACUGGAUCAUAAACACCCACCUUGUCAUAAAGCUGCUGUGAGUCUUACAAUGGGAAGAUGGGGGAGGCAGCACACUGGGGUCAGGAGUGGAGAUACUUAGGCUCCCCAGAGAAAUUAGUCACAAGUCUUAUCCCUUCAUCUCCAUUUACAGCCAUUUAUUUGGGAGCAACAUACUUUAAAUGAGUGAUAAACAAAAUGUCUCCCCACAGCCCCCACCCCAGCAUGUGUUCUGAAGUUCACAGGAAGGCUUCUCCUCAUUUGCUUUGGGGCCCGCAGGCUGCCUGCUAACAGCUGGGUCUUCCCAUGAACAAAUUAGACAGUUAAUGUUCCAGGAUGAAGAGGGCUUCGGGGAACAGAAUCUGCCGUUUAUUUGACUUGCUUCAUUAGACACAGUGCCAUCAUACCAAAAUUAGAAAAAAGAAGGAACUCAGCGGAAAUCAGCUACACAAGAAGAACCUCUCAGUUCUGAGAAUUCACAUUAACCAGUGAUUAAGAAAUAUUAAAAAGGGCUGAUAGUCCACUACGUUAUCAAGUUCAAAGCCUAAGAAAUAUUGAACAUUUCCACACAUGAAUGUGGGUACUAUGUUUAAUUUGAGAAUGGCCAACUGUCCUCGAAGUCUCAAUCUCUUUGGAGCCUACCAGCUCCGAGAGAAGUUUGAGGAUGCUGCAAAACCCUCCCCUGCAAAUCCAUCUACUCCUCCCACUUCUAUCCUAAUGGGUAUAGUUCUUGGCUGUGCUGAGGAUCUGUAAGGCACCAGAUGUGAAAGUAAGGAAGAAAGAUGGAUGUGGAAGAAAGUCACUGCCCAGAGAAUAAGGAGACCUGGAUUCUAAUCUCAGCUCUGCCAUUAACUAGCUAUGAAACUAUGGCUCAAAAGGGAAUAAGAGAUCAAGGCAAGCAUGGACAUCUUGUACGUGGAAGUGCAGACCAGAACUUGUAUCACAGCCAGUCAUAUCUGGUGCUUUCCAUGCUACUUUUACAUACAUGUAUCCUUAAAUUUGAUCCUCUUCUAGUUUAGUCUAAACUCUUUACUUUGUAACUUCCAAACCUAAAAGGUGCAGCAGACAUUGACAAUCUUAAUUCAUUUGUCAGGUCAUUUGGUUUCUUGGUUUCCUAAGGGACUGUAUCCUUCCUGCCCUGCUAAUGGGGAGACUUUUUGUUUUUUGUUUUCUGUUUUCCUUAAUAAGUGAGGCCAAGUGCUGUGUGUAACUGUGGGGUGGGCAAAAUUAGGAUUCCUGAAUCACUUCACUUUUUGUUGCCUUUCUCUUGGGAGAAUGGUUACCAUUGCAGAGAAGCAUAGUUAAAAUUGCUUUUGUGUUUCAUAAACGAAUUCAUACUUAGAUGUCAUUGACCAACAACUAAAUAGUAUAUCAGAGAUGAAAGGCAUCCUAGAGAUGACCAAAUCAAGCUCUUCAUUACUCAAAGGAGAAAAAAAUCCAGAAAGUGGAUGACAUAUGUUGAACUAGUGAUGGAAGUAGAACAGGGUAGUGUAUUUUCUGCCUCUUAAUUCUUCAUUUUUUACACUAAACCAGAUAUUAGGUAUAUGACUAGGAAGAUACGUGAGGUAAGGAGCAGAGGGUUUGGCUCCAAACUCAUCAUGUAGUCAUCCUCCUCCAAGCUCUGAGAGCUUCUCUCACAUGUUAAUUCAGAGGCAGUAACAAAAGAAUUAAUGCUCCUGAAGGUUUCUCAAUUUUAUCAUCUGGAAAGUGGAGUGAACCUUUGCAGAGUCCUUCUGAAGAGGGCUGACCUUGGACUGCACUAGGUUAUAUUCAUUUGCUAUUACUCAGCAAUAAAAAGUAAAUGCAACAAUAUAAAUGAAUCUUAAAAACAUAAUAUGGAAAGAAAGCAGCCAGACACAAAAGAAUACCUCCUGUUUGGUUUCAUUACCAUAAAACCUAGAACAGACAAAUGAAUAUACUAUGAUUUUAAAAAGAUCAUUAUGAUCAGAAAGCACUUGCCUGUUACAGGAAGGAGAUGGGGAUUGACUGGAAAGGGGCAUGAGAAAACUGUAUGAAAUAUUAUAUAUGGUUUAUAUCUUGUUUGGGGGUGGAUACAUAGCUGUGUAUAAUUGUCAACAGUCAUUGAACUGAGCACUUAAAAUCUCUGCAUUUUAGUGUAUGUAAAUUAAUUUUUAAAAUUAUUUUAAAAGAAAAGUAAAAGGAUAGAAAAAGAUAUACCAUGAAAACAGCAAUCAUACAGAGUUGGGGCAGCUAUACUAAUACUAGAUAAAAUAGUCUGUAAGACAAAAACUUAUUAGAGAUGAAGAGGGACAUUUUAAGUGAUGACAAUUUAUUCAAUAAGGAAGAUGUAACAAGAAUAACAAGUAUGUAUGUACCUAAUAACAAAAUCCCAAAAUACGUAAAGCAACAACUGACAAAAUUGAAGGGAAAGAUAGACAAUUCAACAAUAAUAGUUGAGGACUGGAAUACCUCACUUCCAACAAUAAAGAGAAAAACUGGGCAGAAAACCAACUGGGAUACAGAGACUUGAAAAACAUUGUAAACCAAGUAGAAUCAACACACAUCUAUAGAAAACUCCACCCAACAACAGCAGAAAAUACAUUCUUCUGAAGUGCAUACGGAACAUUCCACAGAAAUAUAUGAUGUGCUAGGCCAUAAAAUAAGCCACAAUAGAUAAUAAAAGACUGAAAUCAUGUAAAUUAGGCUCUAUGCCCACAGAUUUAGAAAUCAAUAACUAAAAGAAAUGUGGGGAAUACACAAAUAUGUGGAAAUUAAGCAACACGUUCAUAAAUAACCAAUAGGUCAAGGGAAAAAAAUAUCACAAGGAAAAUUAGAAGAUACUUGAGAUGAAUGAAAAUAAAAAUACAGCAUACAAAAAAAACCAUGGGAGGAAGUUAAAGCAGCAUUAGAGCUAAAUUUAUAGCAAUAAAUGCUUAUUUCUUUAAAAAAUAUCUCUAAUAAUCUAACCUUUCAAUUUAUGAAACUAUAAAAGAACAAAUGAAACUGAAAGCAAGCAAAAAGGAGAAAAUAAUAAAAUUUCAGUAGAAAUAAAUGAAAUAAAAAAUAAAAUACAUAAAGCAACAGUUGGUUCUUGAACAAAAUUGACAAAUCUUUAGCGAAACUUUAGCAAAAAAGAAGGAGGACUCAAAUUACUCACAUCAGGCAAGAAAGAAGAAACUUGACUACUAACUUUACAGAUAAAAAGAAUUCAAGGGGGAUAAAACGUAAAAAAAAAAAACCUCUAUUGCUAACAAAUUAAAUAAACUAUAUGAUAUGGACAAAUCCCUAGAAAGACACAAAUUAUUGAAACUAACUCAAGAAAUAGAAAAUCUAAAUAGACCUAUAACAGGUAAAAAGAUUGAAUUAGUAAAUAAAAACUUCCCACAAAGAAAGAUUCAGGCCUAGAUGGCUUCCACUGGUAAAUUCUCCCAAAUAUUUAAAGAAGAAUUAAUACCAAUUGUUUAUAAACUCUUUUAGAAAAUAGAAGAAAGGGGAACUCAUUCUAUGAGUUCACUAUUACCCUGAUACCAAUGCCAGACAAAGGCAUGAGAAAAAGAGAACUGCACACCUUUAUGCAUCCCUAUCCUUUAUGAAUAUAGAUGCAAAACUCCAAGAUGAAUCCUGAAACAAAUAAAAAAUUGUACCACAACUAAGAAAGAUUUCUUCCAAGAAUUCAAGAUUGGUUUAACAUCUGAAAAUCAAUUUAUAUAAUAUGCCACAACAAUAAAGAAAAAAAUCACAAUUACUUCAAUAGAUGCAUAAAAUAAUGGAUAAACUCCAACACUCAUGAUUAAACAAAAAAAGAAGAAAACGCUUAAACCAGGAACAAAAAUUAACUUCCUCAAACUACCAGAAACUUACAGCUAACAUCAUACUAAAUUGUAAAGAAUCAAAUGGUCUUCUUUCACUCUCAGAUGUGAAAAUCUCCUAUGUAGAAAAUCCCAAGGUAUCGACAAAAAACAAAAAAAAAAGCUAUUAGAACUAAUAAAUGGGUUCAGCAAGUUUGCUGGAUACAAGAUCAGUAUAGAAAAAUCGAUUGCAUUUCUAUAUAUUAACAAUGAAAAACCAAAAUAAAAUUAAGAAAAUUCUAUUUAUAAAUAACAUCAAAAGGAAUAAAAUUUUUAGGAAUAGAUUUAACAAUUUAAGUAUAAAAUGUAUAUGCUAAAAACUACAAAACACUGUUGAGUGAUACUGAAGAUUAAAAUAAAUGGAAAGAUACACCAUGCUUAUGAAUUGGAGGAUUUAAUAUCGUUAAGAUGGCAAUACUUCCCAUAUUAAUGUACAAACUUAAUGCAAUUCUUAACAAAACUCUUCUGGUGUUUUUACAGAAAUUCACAAGGUGACCCUAACAUGUAUAUAAAAAUGCAAGGGAUCCAGAAUCACUAUAACAAUCUUGAAAAAGAAUAACAAAGUUGAUGGAUUCACACUUCCCAAUUCCAGAACAUACUACAAAGCGACAGUAAUCAUAAUGGUGUGGUACUGGUAUAGGGAUAAACAUAUUAAUCAACAGAAUAGAAUUAAGAGUCCAGUAAAUCCUCACAUUUAUGUUCAAUCGAUUUUCAGUAAAUAGGCAAGACAAUUCAGUGGGCAAAGAAUAAUCUUUAACAAAUAGUGCUGGACAACUGAAUAUCACAUGCAAAAGAAUGAAUUUGCACCCUGACUUCACAAUAGACACAAAUUAACUCAAAGUGUAUUAUAGAUCUAAAUGUAAGAGCUAAAUUACAAAACUCUUUUCAAAACAACUACAAAAUUCAAUCUUCAUGAUCUCGGAUUAGGGAAUGACUCUUCAAAUUAGACACCUAAAGCACAGGUGAUAAAAGAUGGCUAGGUUGGACUUCAUCAAAAUCAAAAACUUUUCUGCUUCAAGGGAUAUUUUUAAGAAAGUAAAAAGAUAACCCUACAGACUGAGAGAAAAAUUUUGAAAAUUGCAUAUUUAGUAAGAUACUUACACCCAAAAUAUAUACAGAACUCUUACAACUCAAUAAAGACAAACAGCCCAUUUUUUUCCAUGAGCAAAUGAUUUAAAUAGAAAUUUCUCCAAAGAAGACAUAUGAAUGGCCAACCAAUAAGCACGUGAAAAAUGUCAAUAUCAAUAGCUAUCAGGGAAAUGCAAAUCAAAAUCACAAAGAAACCAGGGCAGAGUGCCAGAUGCUCCGUACCUUGAAAAGGUUCAAGGAAACUUGAAAGAUCAGAUGACAUUUUUAGUGUAAUCUACAAGUCACUCUUCAAAUGACUUGAAGAUGACUACCUGAAUAUAUACAAUAAAAGUUGGAAAUAUUCAUAGAUAAUAUAAAAUUGAGACAAAAAAGGUCUAGAAAGACUGCAAUGUCAAGAUAUGUAUCAUCAAUUCCUGUACGCUACAGUUAAAUUUUGUUCUGAGUUUUCUGGUGCCAAGAAAAUAGGAAAGGGGUGGGCAAUACAGUAAGAUACAAAGAAAGCUUUUAUUUCAUGACACUUAAUUCUAAAAGAAUAAUCAGGUGAUAUGAAGCCAAUUUCUACAGAUAUGGUCUCUGUCCUCCAAGAGCUCAUAACUCAGAGAAAAAUAAAUAUGCAAAUGAUUAAAAUCAGUGAGGUAACUGCUAUGAAGGACGUAUGUACAAGCUAUACUGGAGGCAUAAGAGAGAGAGUUACCAUUCAGAUGAGGUGGACUCAUGCUCUGAUGUGGUAACAUAUGAGGUAGAUUGGGUAGGAAGGUAAGGCCAGUAGAGGGUGGGAGAACAUUCCAAGCAUCUGCAGAGAUUAAAAUUACCUAAGACGUUUGAGAAAUUGUAAGUGGUCUGAUAUGGCUGCAGUACUGGAUGUGAAGAUAAAAUUAAUGAUAGCUGAGGGUGGCAGGAAAGCUGGGAUCUUGCCAUGUAUAGCCUUAUAUGUCAUGCCAAGGACUUUGGACUUUAACCUGUAGGCAAGGGGAACCAUUGACUGGCAAGCCCUGAGUAGAGAGUCUAGGCCUUAUAAUGGGAAGUUAGUUUCCAGAGAUAACCUAAAGAAUUCCUGCCUUUAGGUUUAAUUCCAAAAGGGUAGUAAUCCACAACCUAGCACUCCAUAACAGUGAUUUAUAUUGGAAUUACUCUCCAAAUUGGAAGAUAUGGUUAAUCUGGGAUUAUAGGACGUGUAAGCUCAAAGUAAUUUCCAUUGUAACUCGUAUAGCUUUCUACUCAGCCCAUGACAUUCCUACCUGGUUCCAGUUCUUGCAAUUCAAAGAGAACAGGUCAAUGUCAGUGUUAACAUGUGGGUAUGAAAACAGCAAGUACCCGCAUAUGAAUUGGAACUGGGCUCACUGAAGAAAGCAUGUAAUUGGAGUGGGAAUAAAAGCAUCCAACUAUUAUACUUGUGUGUGUACACACACACAUUAGAUAUACUGCUACAGAUAUAGAUAGAUGCCAGGUGUGCUGGUCACUUUGCGAAUCUCAUCACACUUUACCUUCAUGACAAUCCAGAAAGGUAAGUACUAAUCCCACUUCACAGAUCAAGACUAUUCUUACUUACAGAAGUUAACAGUGCUCUCUCACUGGCUGGAUUGGCAUGGAUGCCUAUUUUUGAUAGUAUUUCUAAUCCUUACCACUGAAAGCAUUGGAAUGACACUUCAUGUAUUUUUUUCAGUAGAGAAGUAAUAGAAACUAUUCCCCUUAAAUGGCAGAUGUGAUAUCUCAAGCACAAAAGCUUGGGUGACUCACUCAAGUCAAUAACAACUGUAGGACAGGAGCAUUUCCAGUUGGCCCCGUAUUCCUUCUACUUAGUCUUUUUUGUUCUCAUGUAAAUACAAAGUCAUAAAUUUGUGGGGGUUCAUAUUGGCUUUGUUCCUUUUCCCAUCUAGUUACCACAAGAGACCUUUCACUCUCCCUAGUGACACCAUUCAACCUCUACAUAACCCUACAACAAAUACCCACUUCACUACCAUAUCACAUGGCCAGACCAGUGGUCUUUUCCUUUAAUGUUACAUAGAAUAAUAUUAUUUCUCCAUCAAUUAACUCUGAUUGGAAUCAUGAUUAUCACUAGUUUUAUUCUUCAGGCUUGAUAGAGUACCAGCUGUGUCCAACAAAUGUAACAACAGUGGCUUCCAGCCAAGUGCAACUGAGGUUUUUACAAGAAUAGAUACUUCGUGUAUUCUAAUGACAAAAGCACAUAAAUGAGGACUAAUAUUCUGUCUGUGGCAGAGAGAAAAUCCUCUUGACUUUGAAGAGGUUCAAAGGCCCACACACACAGAAAACUGAGUGCUCUGUCAUGCUAUCUGGAUCAAGGGACUCCCCCAAGGGGCCGGCAUCCCGGCCUUAGAAAGAUGUCUGGGCCCUCAUCACUGAGGCCUUUGAAACCUUGUACCAGAAACCCCCAGGGGUGCCUCUCCAGCCUGCUCCCCUGGAACUUCUCAGGUACCCAUGACACAGCCAGAUAACCAGCCAGUUGUCACCUACCAUCUAGGACAGUCUCUUACUCCUACCUGUCCAUGCAUGCUCACUAAACUUGCCCUGCAGCAGAAGUAUGAAUGACUCUUUAUUAAAAUAGACAGGAAAAACAAUAGUGUCUCAUCUCACACCUGCACUAGGAAAAAAUCCUCUGUCUUCCUCUCUCCCUUCUGGGCCCACUCCCUCCAAGUCAUCUCAGAGCUGCUGCCAGCAGCAUGUAAAAUAUGAAUCUGACUUUUUGACCCAUCUGAUUAAAAACUGAAGUUGGAGCACCUCUGGCAGCAGAUUGAAGUCCAAACCCCUUCAAAAAGUAUUCAAGGGCCUUCACAACCUGAUUUCAACAAUAUCCUGAACAGUUUUCCCAUACACUGGAGCUCUGGCCUUCCCAGGUAACUCACUACCCCCUGAAGAUGUUGUACAUUUUCAUUAUAUAUGAUUUUUGUUACUAUUCAAUUUAUCUAGAAUACAUCACAUCCCCUAUCUCACCUCACUCACCUGACAAACUCCCAAUCAUUCUUUGAGAACUAGCUAAAAUGUUCUCACCCCUCUAAUGCUUUCCCUGACCAUCCCAGGCCAAAUUAACCAGUCCUUCCUCUGUGACUCUGCCUAUUGCACUUAUUCUGAUUUUCCCAGCUCAACAGAUGACAGAGCCAAGACUCAAACCCUGGCCUUCUGACUCCAAGUUCUAAGGUCUUUACUUAACCCCUUGCCUACUGUGCAAUAUUACAAAUGGAAUCAUGCGUCAAUUCUGAAUCCCGACUGGCAGGCCAAUUGUGGGUAGUCAGUAAACUUACAGUGGAUGAAUGAAUGAACAACAACCUGAAGGAAGCUUCUACUAUCCCCACCCACCCCCCACCACACACACACACACACACACACACACACACACACAGAGUUUAUUCUUCGAACUGGAAUUUGUAAAGACAGCUUGGUUUCCCAGAUGCAUCCAACUCAUCAGGUACUACAAAUUCUGUAACCAGGCCCCAAUUUAGGGAUACUACAACUAUGCAUCAUGUAAUCAUGUAGGUCCUCCAGUGAUACUCAUCUUGCUCAUUUGGCCAUGGAUAAAGGAGAAAAGAGAGAGAAGUUCCCUUUCAGCACCCUAACACAUCUCUUAAUACAGCCUCUAAGUCUUUGAGUCCUCCAGGAGCCAGCAGCCAAGUCCAAACUAAAAGCAUCACAUGUUGUUUUGGAGAAAGAAGCCAGGGUGUCCACAGUAAUAUAAAUACAGAGACAGAUAGGACGAGCAGGCCCUAUGGAGAGAGGCCAAGCCUGAGAAAGUCAAAGGGCUUUGAGCUCUGAAUUAUGCUCUGUCAAAGAAAAAAAAAAGUAGAAGAUAAAAGAGAAAGAAUAAACAAACUUCUUCAUUUUUACUUUUCACAAAAAAGUCUCUUCUGGAAGCAGCAAAUAAAAUCUUCCCAACUCACUGGGUGCUGAGUAGAGUGUUAAGACACUAGCCCUUGAAGGAAGAAUGAAUAAGCAAUUCAAAGUGGGCUUUUCUGCCCUAGGCUAAAUCUGAAAUCAUCCAUUUUGCCAGCAGUAUUCUGUCUGCCAACCUACCUGCAAAGAAAGGGGCCAUUUAAAACUUCACAUCCACCCGAGAUGGCUGUUGUACAAAACACACACUCACAGGCUCCCCUCAAAGCCUAGUAAGGAAGAAGGAAGAAGGAAAAAGCAAAGGAAAUAUCUGGCAGCUCCUAGACUUUAGGAAUUCCACAAACAAAGCCAUUGCCAACAUCUAUUUGACAGGAUGUAUAGAGAGUUCAUAAAGUAAGUGUUUAUAGAAAUUCCAAAAUGUUUAAAACUAUCUCUUGAUUUUUGAAGGUCACUGUAAUCUAGUCUAUUGGAGAAUGCUAUUGUAGAGUCUUUGGCUAUUGUUACUUAUACCUGCAUAUAUGAAAUCACCACUCCUAAAAACCACGAAUUAGAAGGCUGAUUUGUUUAAAGAAAUACUGUUGUCCAUGAUGGAAGAAGGAUGCUAACUCACAGAGAGAAUGAUGCUGCCUGUGGAACAGAGUCGGAGCUGGCUUUUAUGGAACCUAUUGUCACUUUGAUUAUACACUGUCUAGGACAGGACUGAGGCCCACAUAAUACCAAGCAUACCACAAAUACGUAAGUUCGCUGUUGAGUUUGUUUCUUUUUAUUGUUUAAGAAAAAAGAAUGCUGGGGUUUGAGUUGUUCUUUUACACCCAGAACACACUACACAUCAGAGAUGUGCUGACACCGUGCUUUUUCUUUUUUAUAUAACAAGAAAAAGUGGCAUAGAGGGAAAAAGAGGUCAAAUUAAACAUCAAGGUAGCUAAAAGGAAAAUUGUGUCCGCUGCUCUAAUAUCACAAUCCCAAGGAGAACUGCAGACAUUUGUCCUCGAGUUCCUCAGGUUGCCAGUAAUGAUGUUUCUGGUGAUCUGGCUCAGAAGGCUGAGCUGAUGAGUGAUCACUCAGAAAUACUGAAUCAGGCAAUGGAAAUUCUGAAUCGGUGGGCUCUGGAGAAGGAACUGAGGGCGAGGUGACUCGGGGCCGGAGGGCUAUUAUGGACUAUGGACAAGCUGAAGGCAUGGGAAGCCUGACCAGUAGAUAGAGGAAUAUGAACUUGGUGGACAGGGAAAAGCAGGGACGUCAUGAACGAAAGACCACAGACCCUCUGUUCUAGUCCAUGGGGCCAGGCUGUGCUCCACUGCCUACUCUUGGAUUCCCCAAAGAAUGCUUUAUGUCCUUAUAAUAAAUCCACCUUUCCAUGGACAAAAAUGAGUGUGUCUCUGUGUCUUCAAACCUGAGAGCUAAAACCAAAAAACAUAACUUAUGAUGCUGUAGAAGAAACUUCUACCCCUUUGUACGCAUGGAGAUGUUUCCCAAAUCUACACAAUGAUAGAAAUAACUUGCUGCGUUAAAAAGUAUAGAUUGUCAAGCUCCUCCUCUGUAGAUUGAGUCCAAAGUUCUGACUUGGGCCCUGAGAAGAUGUUUGUAUUCUUAUAUUCAGGCAAGUUUGGGCCAAAUUCAUUGAAGUGAAUUCUGAGAUCCUUUCAAUUGCAAAGUCAACAAAUACAAACUAAUCAUUCCUCUAUACAUAGGAGUAGUUUAAG